GCCAGAUCCAGCGAUCACCGGCGGGAAGAAGGGUUCUGAAGGUGAACGACACAGUGAGUUCCAGCAGGGAGGUUCUUGGUUGUGGAUUGAUCUUUUCUUCCUGAUCUUUCUUGAUCCAGGCAGUGAAGGGGUGUUCCACAGCUACUUACUUUGUUUCUAGCAACCGACAGCAAUUUCGGCCACAAAUCUUGAUCCAGCAGUAACAAGAUUGAUGCUAUCUAGAGAGUUCCAGUCGCUAGUCCCCUGCAGUCCACGAGGAUGUUUAUUUGUCUUUUGGUGUCUUUUACUAGACUAUGUUGAGACUUGUUUUAUGAUGAUACACUUGGGUCUUAUAUGGACAUUGUCGAUGAGUUUUUAUUUGGAUUUGUUUUACUACAUGCCUAUCUAGACGGCAGAAGAGGUAAGUUGAUCUUAUCGUCAAAUUUGAGCUUUAUGAGUGUAGUGGAGUAGGAAUAUGUUUUG